GAAAUAGGUUAAUCAAAAGAGAGCUUCUAACUCAUCUUUUUAAUAGUGUAAAUCUAUUAAUAUUUCU
rnacentral:tRNA from 1 species